rnacentral:sRNA from 1 species
GGGCAUUUUGGCAGAACCAAAACUGCCUAAGUGAAGCGAUUCACCAAGAAGUAUGUGUGGUUUGCAUACGAUGAAAUAUGGAACCGGCAUACAAACUGGUACCGCCCAGUAUAAAAAGGGGUAUGUCACCAUUAAGCGGUGUAGGAAAAUCAUGUGCCUACGAAAAAAACUAAUGUUAAUGGCAUAUCUCAUCUGCGAUGAAUUUCAGGUAAACAACUUUGGAAGAGGGACAUUCGUGAAACCACCACGAAUGUUCUUU